AUCCAGUUGACGAGUCCCAAAUAGAAUGAAACGGACGUCCUGGAU
rfam:Schistosoma curassoni strain Dakar, Senegal genome assembly, scaffold: SCTD_scaffold0001824